rnacentral:rRNA from 1 species
AUCAACUUUCGAUGGUAGGAUAGAGGCCAACCNUGGUGGUAACGGGUAACGGGGUGUUAGGGCACGACACCGGAGAGGGAGCCUGAGAAACGGCUACCACAUCCAAGGAAGGCAGCAGGCGCGCAAAUUACCCAAUCCCGACACGGGGAGGUAGUGACAAUAAAUAACAAUACAGGGUUCUUUUGGAUCUUGUGAUUGGAAUGAGUACAAUUUAAAUCUCUUAACGAGGAACAAUUGGAGGGCAAGUCUGGUGCCAGCAGCCGCGGUAAUUCCAACUCCAAUAGCGUAUAUUAAAGUUGUUGCAGUUAAAAAGCUCGUAGUUGAAUUUCGGGAUCAAUAUUUCGGUCAUGCCGUUGGUAUGCACUGUUAUCAUUGAUUUCUCACCUUCUAAAGAACCGUAAUGCCAUUAAUUUGGUGUUACGGGGAAUUAGGACUGUUACCUUGAAAAAAUUAGAGUGUUUAAAGCAGGCUCACGCUUGAAUACAUUAGCAUGGAAUAAUGAAAUAGGACAUCCGAUUCUAUUUUGUUGGUUUCUAGGAUCGAUGUAAUGAUUAAUAGGGAUAGUUGGGGGCAUUAGUAUUCAAUUGUCAGAGGUGAAAUUCUUGGAUUUAUUGAAGACUAACUACUGCGAAAGCAUUUGCCAAGGAUGUUUUCAUUAAUCAAGAACGAAAGUUUAGGGGAUCGAAGACGAUCAGAUACCGUCGUAGUCUUAACCAUAAACUAUGCCGACUAGGGAUCGGAUGAUGUUAAUUUUUUAAUGACUCAUUCCGGCGCCUUACGGGAAACCAAAGUGUUUGGGUUCAAUCACUAGUGAAUUCGCGGCGCCUGCAGGUCGACCAUUAUGGGAGAGCUCCCCACCGCCGUGGAUGCAUAGCUUGAAGUAUUCUCAUAG